rnacentral:lncRNA from 1 species
UACAAUUGCACAUUCAACAACUGAGUUAUAUCAUUUCUCAAUAUUAAUUGAAGAAAUGAUUAGAAUCCCUAUAGAAAGUAAUGCUGUGUUCAUUUACUCAAUUACUUUGAUGAAUGCCUUCCUGAAGCUGUCCUCACUCCUCCUCAUUGCUUCUCCAAGGUAUGGAAAUAGGCAGCCCCAUCCUGCCACAUGUCUAUGUUACAUAUGUGUUAUACCAUGUUAUCCUGGGUAAUGAGUCAUCCUAUCUGACUGGCUGGGAACCAUAAGGUGUUCUCCUUCUCUUAAGAUUUUUGCCCCUUGAAAUAAUCUUCCUGUUUCUUCUCACACCAAAGAGUCCCUAUUCUUAGAUGCUUCUGGAGUUUCUAUAUUUGAAUUCUUCUGGCAAUGAUGGCCAGAGAGAAAGGAGAGGAAAGGAACCCACCAGUAGCUGUCUUUCUGCUGCCUGUCUGAGUACAGGUAUAUACAACGAUGACGAGGGACAUGGUGCAUGGAAACACAUGAUGAGCGUGAGCCAUGCCAAGCGGGGACCUGAGUGAGGACCACUUACAGGCCAAUAAACAGGAUCGAGUGGCAACUAACAAAAACUAGCCAACUCUGUCAAAAAGAUCUCCACGUCAGAAACCAAGACCUGGAAGCUGUAAGAAGCCUGGAUCCACACAAACGACUGCUUAGCAUUCAAAUACUCCCCUCCCAGAACACUUGAUGUGUUUCUUGCAUAUCUGACUUACUCUGCUGGCCAUCUACUGACAAAAGCAAU